AGUAGCGGUGAAAUGCGUAGAUAUCUGGAGGAAUACCAAAGGCGAAGGCAGUCCCCUGGUCCGAUACUGACACUGAGGUACGAAAGCGUGGGGAGCAAACAGGAUUAGAUACCCUGGUAGUCCACGCCCUAAACGAUGUCGAUUAGCCAUUGGAAGGACCCCUUUUCCUUUCAGUGACGUAGCUAACGCGUUAAAUCGACCGCCUGGGAAGUACGACCGCAAGGUUAAAACUCAAAGGAAUUGACGGGGACCUGAACAAGCGGUGAAUGAUGUGGAUUAAUUCGAUGCUACGCGAAGAACCUUACCUACCUUUGACAUGGCCAAAGUUCUACCGAGAGGCGGAAGUACUCGUAAGAGGAUUGGCGCACAGGUGCUGCAUGGUUGUCGUCAGUUCGUGUCGUGAGAUGUUGGGUUCAGUCCCGCAACGCACGCAACCCUUAUCUUUAAUUGCUCCUAUUUUAACAGGCACUUUAAAGAAACUGCCAAUGAUAAGUUGGAGGAAGGUGGGGAUCACGUCAAGUCCGCAUGGCCUUUAUAGGUAGGGCUUCACACGUCAUACAAUGGUUAGAACAAAGAGCUGCAAAUUCGUAAGAAGGAGCCAAUCUCACAAACCUAACCUCAGUUCGAAUUGCGGUCUGCAACUCGAGCGCAUGAAGCCGGAAUCGCUAGUAAUCGUGGAUCAGAAUGCCA
rnacentral:rRNA from 1 species